GACGUAGGGCGCGAGCGUUGUCCGGAUUUAUUGGGCGUAAAGAGCUCGUAGGCGGUCUGUCGCGUCUGCUGUGAAAACCCGAGGCUCAACCUCGGGCCUGCAGUGGGUACGGGCAGACUAGAGUGCGGUAGGGGAGAAUGGAAUUCCUGGUGUAGCGGUGAAAUGCGCAGAUAUCAGGAGGAACACCCGUGGCGAAAGCGGCUCUCUGGGACGGUACUGACGCUGAGACGCGAAAGCGUGGGGAGCAAACAGG
rnacentral:rRNA from 1 species